CACUGUAGCCUGAUCUUGAUGCAA
rnacentral:siRNA from 1 species